rnacentral:rRNA from 1 species
GAGAACGGCCAUGCUACCCUGAAUGAACCCGAUCCCGUCUGAUCUGGGAAGCUAAGCAGGGUCAGGCCUGGCUAGUACUUGGAUGGGAGACCACCUAGGACGACCAGGUGCUGUAGGCA